rnacentral:rRNA from 1 species
UACGUAGGGGGCGAGCGUUGUCCGGAUUUAUUGGGCGUAAAGAGCUCGUAGGCGGUUUGGUAAGUUGGAUGUGAAAUCUCCAGGCUCAACUUGGAGGGGUCAUUCGAUACUGCCAUGACUAGAGUUCGGUAGGGGAGUGUGGAAUUCCUGGUGGAGCGGUGAAAUGCGCAGAUAUCAGGAGGAACACCGGUGGCGAAGGCGGGUCUCUGGGCCGUAACUGACGCUGAGGAGCGAAAGCGUGGGGAGCAAACAGG